UACGAAGGGGGCUAGCGUUGCUCGGAUUGACUGGGCGUAAAGGGCGCGUAGGCGGUUCGUACAGUCAGACGUGAAAUUCCUGGGCUCAACCUGGGGGCUGCGUUUGAUACGUGCGGGCUUGAGUGCGGAAGAGGGUCGUGGAAUUCCCAGUGUAGAGGUGGAAAUUCGUAGAUAUUGGGAAGAACACCGGUGGCGAAGGCGGCGACCUGGUCCGAUACUGGACGCUGAGGCGCGAAAGCGUGGGGAGCAAACAGG
rnacentral:rRNA from 1 species